rnacentral:rRNA from 1 species
UACGAAGGGGGCUAGCGUUGUUCGGAAUUACUGGGCGUAAAGGGCGCGUAGGCGGUUCGACAAGUUGGAUGUGAAAGCCCAGGGCUCAACCCUGGAAUUGCAUUCAAGACUGUCUUACUUGAAUUCGGUAGAGGUGAGUGGAAUUCCCAGUGUAGAGGUGAAAUUCGUAGAGAUUGGGAAGAACACCGGUGGCGAAGGCGGCUCACUGGCUCGAUACUGACGCUGAGGUGCGAAAGCGUGGGGAGCAAACAGG